UAUAUUAUAGUUUAAAUAAAAUGUAAAAUUGCAAAUUUUAUGAUAUUAGUAUAAAUAAUUAAUAUAU
rnacentral:tRNA from 1 species